rnacentral:rRNA from 1 species
CAGUCGAACGAGUUCUCGUUGAUGAUCGGUGCUUGCACUGAGAUUCAACAUGGCACGAGUGGCGGACGGGUGAGUAACACGUGGGUAACCUGCCCUUAAGUGGGGGAUAACAUUUGGAAACAGAUGCUAAUACCGCAUAGAUCCAAGAACCGCAUGGUUCUUGGCUGAAAGAUGGCGUAAGCUAUCGCUUUUGGAUGGACCCGCGGCGUAUUAGCUAGUUGGUGAGGUAAUGGCUCACCAAGGCGAUGAUACGUAGCCGAACUGAGAGGUUGAUCGGCCACAUUGGGACUGAGACACGGCCCAAACUCCUACGGGAGGCAGCAGUAGGGAAUCUUCCACAAUGGACGCAAGUCUGAUGGAGCAACGCCGCGUGAGUGAAGAAGGCUUUCGGGUCGUAAAACUCUGUUGUUGGAGAAGAAUGGUCGGCAGAGUAACUGUUGUCGGCGUGACGGUAUCCAACCAGAAAGCCACGGCUAACUACGUGCCAGCAGCCGCGGUAAUACGUAGGUGGCAAGCGUUAUCCGGAUUUAUUGGGCGUAAAGCGAGCGCAGGCGGUUUUUUAAGUCUGAUGCGAAAGCCCUCGGCUUAAUCGAGGAAGCGCAUCGGAAACUGGGAAACUUGAGUGCAGAAGAGGACAGUGGAACUCCAUGUGUAGCGGUGAAAUGCGUAGAUAUAUGGAAGAACACCAGUGGCGAAGGCGGCUGUCUGGUCUGUAACUGACGCUGAGGCUCGAAAGCAUGGGUAGCGAACAGGAUUAGAUACCCUGGUAGUCCAUGCCGUANACGAUGAAUGCUAGGUGUUGGAGGGUUUCCGCCCUUCAGUGCCGCAGCUAACGCAUUAAGCAUUCCGCCU